AGGGGCCGUAUGCGAGAAAACCGCACGUACAGUCCUGUGAGGGGCAUAAUAAGUUCCUCACGUUAACGCAGUUAACGAAAGGAUGGGAUUUAGAUAUGUCUACUCGAC
rnacentral:misc_RNA from 1 species